rnacentral:rRNA from 1 species
GAUGAAUGCUGGCGGCGUGGAUGAGGCAUGCAAGUCGAAUGGGUUUAGGCCCAUGGCAGACGAGGUAGGAACACGUAGGUACGUACCCCAAAGUCAGGGAUAACCCAUCGAAAGGUGGGAUAAUACUUGAUAGUCUCUUCGGAGUAAAGAUUUAUCGCUUUGGGAACGGCCUGCGGGCUAUCAGCUUGUUGGUAAGGUAACGGCUUACCAAGGCUACGACGGCUAGGGGAGGUGAGAGCCUGACCCCCACCGAUGGAACUGCGACACGGUCCAUACUCCUACGGGAGGCUGCAGUCGAGAAUCUUCCGCAAUGGGCGGAAAGCCUGACGGAGCGACGCCGCGUGGUGGGAUGAAGUCCUCGGUACGGUAACAACCUUUACUUGAGGGAGGGAAAGUUUUAGUUAC